UUAAUAGGCCUGAGAAUUACUUUGAAACCUAAACAAGAUAGGAUAGUAAUAAAUUUUUAGCAUGCAGGAGAGAAAAAGGGUAUAAUUAUAAGUUCAGUGUAAGUAUUAGAAGAUGAUGGACGUUCAGAUUUAGUAAGUGUUAGCAAGAGCUGAAUCAACUUUAAAAUCGAAAUCUCCUGGGGUGUGCACCAAAAUAUUGUUUCUACUCUCUGCUUGUGGCAUCACAGUUGGAGGGGGAGGGUUAGAUUUUUAGUUGAAGAAGGAUUAAUAGAAAGAUGUGGGCAGAAAUAGCCAUUCAAACCGAUUGAAAACAUGCUGUUUUGAAAGUGUUCGUCUUUGAAAAAAAAAUCAGUUGAAAAAUGCUACAUACAUGUUGUAUACCUGUAUGUCACUCUAACUGCAAAGGAGAGUCAUGUACAAAUAUUACAAGUUUCUCAAAAGAUCUAAAGCGAAGGAAACAAUGUAGAAACUCUGUCAUCAAAAGAUUUCAAGUGACUGAUUCUACAGUCAUCUGUUUUAAUAACUUUGAGAAACACUUCAUUGAAUGAGAGCAUAAAUCAAUAUGAGCUGAUGGUUUGUUGCUUGUUCUACCCAAAUACAGCCCAAAGAAGAAUUACCUGCAGAAAGAAAAUCUCCAGAAGAAAGAACUAUUGCACUUAAAAAAAGAAGAGCAGGUGAAUUUAAGCAAUGGUUUGUAAAAGAUAAAACUAAAGUUUUCAAAGAAUUGAAACUGAAUUUUGAAAUGAAGCUGCUAGACUAGUGAAUUGUAUAUGAUAAAAGAGAGGAUAUUUUCAUUGCUAAACCAGAUUUAUAAGCCUCUUAUGUUUCUUAUGUCAAUAUCCAAGGAACUAACUAUUAAAGUUUGUCAUCAUUAUGUCCAAGUUGAUCCUUUAAAACUGAAAUGACUCUUGGGAAAUGACUCUUGUAAAUGUCUCUUUUGGACAGCAUUUGAGUGUUUACUAAGUCACUUGAAUGGAUAUGAAAAUGAUUUUGGCAGUGAUAAUUUAUAAGCUCAAUUCAUGUAGUACAGACUCAGGGCUGAAGGGAAGAUAGAAAAGGCUGGUUCAUUCCUUACUCAAAACUGAAGCUACAAUUCCCUAUCCUCCUCAUGACAUCAAGCUGCACACAGAUCUCAAAAAUCACAUCUAGAGCAUAUGAAAACUUUGCUGUUUAUACUUUCUGUAAGAAAUUAGUUGAAUGUUCUGCACUUUUCUGGUAAUAGCUGUCAAACUUUACACUGCUAACAAAUUACUUCUGUUCAAAAAUAUAGAAUUCAUACAUUUUCUUGGUACUCCUAAUAGUAUUAAAAAAACAUUUUAAAAUUAGAAAAA